rnacentral:lncRNA from 1 species
GACACAUUUGCAUUGUCAAUCUUUCCCACAAUUUGCAAAAACAGGAGAGAAAUCUGAAACUAACAGAAUUACACAAGCUAAGUUUUCUGUAAAAAAAGAAAAAACUUACAAUUUUUUAUUUACAAGUUAAGGAAAAGUUGUAAACGUUCAGGAUUUUACUUCCACAGAAUAAAAAGCCAUACAUUCUUUUAUCAUACCUAGAAAAUGAACAUAUACACAUUGUGAUUACCUCAUAGGAAUUCAACAGGACUGAUA